rnacentral:rRNA from 1 species
UCCUACGGGGCGCAGCAGUGAGGAAUAUUGGUCAAUGGGCGAGAGCCUGAACCAGCCAAGUCGCGUGAAGGAUGACGGCCCUAUGGGUUGUAAACUUCUUUUGUCAGGGAGCAAUUGAGUCCACGUGUGGGCUUAGCGAGAGUACCCGGAGAAAAAGCAUCGGCUAACUCCGUGCCAGCAGCCGCGGUAAUACGGAGGAUGCGAGCGUUAUCCGGAUUUAUUGGGUUUAAAGGGUGCGUAGGCGGGCUGUUAAAUCAGCGGUCAACUGUCGGGGCUCAACCCCGGCCUGCCGUUGAAACUGGCGG